CUGAGUCAGAGGACUGGUCUUGGUCUGUGUUCCCAACUCCGAUGAACUGGCCCUUGCUGCCUGCCCAGGCUCUAGCAUCAACAAUGAAAUGUCAAAACACACUUAGCACCGCUUCAACUUAUGGAUCCUUCUGUUGUCUCUAGAAGUCAGGCUGUUGUAAAGGGUCUCUAGGCAUUCAAAUGGCCCAGAAGAGACACACAGAAUUGUUUUUGGGAGCAGCCUGAUCAAAAUAAAGUCUUACAUCUCAGAAAUGGAGGAACCUACCACCUGCUGUGCUGGGCAGGUGGCACCUUAAGCUCUACUGAUGCUUUUACACCAAACCUGCAGAAGCCAUUUCAGCAAAACAGCUAAUACAGUAAGUAAAAAAGCAGCACAGAUUUCAUGGGGCAGGAGAGGCACUAUUAAAUUAAUUCUACCUCUGC